GGAUUGCCUCAGUAACGGCGAGUGAAGCGGCAAGAGCUCAAAUUUGAAAUCUGGCCCCUCCGGGGUCCGAGUUGUAAUUUGCAGAGGAUGCUUCGGGUGCAGCCCCCAUCUAAGUUCCCUGGAACGGGACGUCAUAGAGGGUGAGAAUCCCGUAUGGGAUGGGGUGUCUGCGUCCGUGUGAAGCUCCUUCGACGAGUCGAGUUGUUUGGGAAUGCAGCUCUAAAUGGGUGGUAAAUUUCAUCUAAAGCUAAAUAUUGGCCGGAGACCGAUAGCGCACAAGUAGAGUGAUCGAAAGAUGAAAAGCACUUUGAAAAGAGAGUUAAACAGCACGUGAAAUUGUUGAAAGGGAAGCGCUUGCGACCAGACUCGCCUACGGGGUUCAGCCGGCUUUCGGGCCGGUGUACUUCCCCGUGGGCGGGCCAGCGUCGGUUUGGGCGGCCGGUUAAAGGCCCCGGGAAUGUAGCGCCCUUCGGGGCGCCUUAUAGCCCGGGGUGCAAUGCGGCCUGCCUGGACCGAGGAACGCGCUUCGGCACGGACGCUGGCAUAAUGGUCGUAAGCGACCCGUCUUGAAACACGGACCAAGGAGUCUAACAUCUACGCGAGUGUUCGGGUGUCAAACCCGUGCGCGGAGUGAAAGCGAACGGAGGUGGGAGCCCCUUACGGGGCGCACCAUCGACCGAUCCUGAUGUCUUCGGAUGGAUUUGAGUAAGAGCGUAAAUGUGGGGACCCGAAAGAUGGUGAACUAUGCCUGAAUAGGGCGAAGCCAGAGGAAACUCUGGUGGAGGCUCGCAGCGGUUCUGACGUGCAAAUCGAUCGUCAAAUUUGGGUAUAGGGGCGAAAGACUAAUCGAACCAUCUGGUAGCUGGUUCCUGCCGAA
rnacentral:rRNA from 1 species